rnacentral:rRNA from 1 species
AUAUCAGUAAGCGGAGGAAAAGAAACUAACAAGGAUUCCCUUAGUAACGGCGAGUGAAGCGGGAAAAGCUCAAUUUUGAAAUCUCCCACCAGGGCGAAUUGUAGUUUAGAGAUGCGUUUCGGGGCCGUCCUAAGUUCAAGUCUGUUGGAAUGCAGCAUCAGAGAGGGUGAGAAUCCCGUUCAACUUGGAGCAGGCUCCUCUGAGAUACGUCUUCAAAGAGUCGGAUAGCUUGGGAAUGCUGUCCAAAAUGGGUGGUAAAUACCAUCUAAAGCUAAAUAUUGGCGAGAGACCGAUAGCGCACAAGUA